CUGGUACUGAACAGAACACAACAUUGGAGUCUUUGCAAACUUUGUUCAAAAACUACAACUAUUUGACACAAAACUGCGACAGCAAGCACAGAAACUUCAAACAAGUCACUGAAAGAAACCAAAUCCUGCGUGGAUCUUUGUCCUGACAGACGCCUAAAAUGGCUCAAGCUGUGGGAAAACCAAAUCUUAAGAGGUUCAACUCACAUGUCAGCAGUGACAGCAAGUACUGCUUCCAGGAUGUGGGGAUCUUACUGCCUCCUAAAUGUUUUAGGCUGAUGACGUGUGAUCUUCCCCUGCCUCCAAGUCCUCUAUCAUCCCCUGUGAAUGAUGAAAACACUAAUCCAAAUUGUAUCAGCGCACUGCCUUAUGAUGUUCCAUUGCCUCCAAGUCUUCCACCUUCUGAACAGGAGUAUGCUUGCCUUUGUUCCCUUGAACACAAGAGGUCUUAUUUGAUGCCUCUCAGUGUCCUGGCUAAUAUUCUGCUGCCUCCAAGUCCUCCACCAUCCCCUGUGUGUGCUGAAUACACGGAUCCAAAGUGUGUAAGCCCUCUGCCUCAUGAGGUUCUGCUGCCUCCAAGUCCUCCACCUGUUGAAGCUUUUGAUCGAUGUGGAAAGAAUCCAAGUUCAACAGUGUGGUCUGUAGGUGAUGAAGAGGAAGAUUUAAUGCUUAAGCUCAUUAGGCUGACGCUUCAUGAUGUUCCAGUGCCUCCAAGUCGUCCACCUUCUGAAAAGAAGUAUGCUUCCCUUCAUUCUCUAAAACACAAGAGGUCUGAUUUGUUGCCUCUCAGCCUCCUGGCUAAUAUUCCACUGCCUCCAAGUCCUCCACCGUCCCCUGUGUGUGCUGAAUACACGGAUCCAAAGUGUAUCAGCCCACUGCCACAUGAGGUUCCACUGCCUCAAAGUCCUCCACCAGCUGAUGCCCGGCCUCAGUCAAAGGACACUCAUAAGGUCCUGCAUCCAGAUCUAAAAUAUGAUUGUUCUUCCCUGGACGAUGAAGUGGCCUUUUUCAUGUCUCCCACAGAAAAGCCUCCUAGUGUAACCACUCAUGAGGUUUCACCACGUCCACCUUAUGAAUUGCCACACCUUCCAGAGAAGAGAUACCUCAGUUUAUCUACUGUUGCUUUUCCUUGUCUUGAUGAUUAAAGAUGUGUUUGUUGUAAUAAAAUAAUUUUUGAACAAAU
ensembl:lncRNA